rnacentral:lncRNA from 13 species
AUGAGUGCGUCGAGGGCGAGUCGGGCCUCAUCGACGAAACGAAGGAGACUGUGGGGGAGGGUCACGUGUGUAUACACUGUAGGGUUCAGUACCACUCAGUUCGUAAAGAGGAUACGACGUUUGUUACAAGUCAACACCAAAUGUAAUUACAGAGAAAUGUCAGUGGAAGUACAGCAAAACCCGAUGCCUCCGUAGACUUGUCGCCGUGCCAAAUCUGUACUUUUCUGCCAAGCCAGUGCACCAGUCCAGC